CGCGUAGGCGGCGGACCUUGUCGAGUGUGAAAGCCCCGGGCUCAACCUGGGAGGUGCGCUCGAGACGGGUUUGCUGGAGUUCGGGAGAGGAGAGUGGAAUUCCCAGUGUAGAGGUGAAAUUCGUAGAUAUUGGGAAGAACACCGGUGGCGAAGGCGGCUCUCUGGACCGAGACUGACGCUGAGGCGCGAAAGCGUGGGGAGCAAACAGGAUUAGAUACCCUGGUAGUCCACGCUGUAAACGAUAGUGUGCUAGACGUUGGGAGCGUAGCUCUUCGGUGUCGCCGCAAACGCUUUAAGCACACCGCCUGGGAGUACGGCCGCAAGGUUAAA
rnacentral:rRNA from 1 species